rnacentral:rRNA from 1 species
UGGGGAAUAUUGGACAAUGGGGGGAACCCUGAUCCAGCCAUGCCGCGUGUGUGAAGAAGGCCUUAUGGUUGUAAAGCACUUUAAGCGAGGAGGAGGGUACUGGUAUUAAUACUACCAGCUACUGGACGUUACUCGCAGAAUAAGCACCGGCUAACUCUGUGCCAGCAGCCGCGGUAAUACAGAGGGUGCGAGCGUUAAUCGGAUUUACUGGGCGUAAAGCGUGCGUAGGCGGCUAAUUGUGUCGGAUGUGAAAUCCCCGAGCUUAACUUGGGAAUUGCAUUCGAUACUGGUUAGCUAGAGUGUGGGAGAGGAUGGUAGAAUUCCAGGUGUAGCGGUGAAAUGCGUAGAGAUCUGGAGGAAUACCGAUGGCGAAGGCAGCCAUCUGGCCUAACACUGACGCUGAGGUACGAAAGCAUGGGGAGCAAACAGG